rnacentral:sRNA from 1 species
AGCCUAUGAGGAUGAGAACCUCCGGGGGCAGGGAGGUUCGACUCGAGCGAAGCGAGAGAACGUUGCGCCAGCAACGGCCCGCAGGGCGAGCCACGAAGUGGCGAGUAAUCCUCUGGCACCGACCA